rnacentral:rRNA from 1 species
GAUGUGCUGCUUCUAAUCGUCCGUCUUGGACAA